AUUUCUUCGGGUUUUUAUUAACAUCUCAGAGUUGUGGCACAUAAAAAUACCUAGCAUAUUAAUAUUCAAUCAGAUUAAGUAAUGUUUUUAAUAUAUGACACUGAGUAGGGCGAAACAAAAAUAACUAAAAUAAAGACGGACUGUUGGACUUUUUGAAAACUGGCAAUGCCUUCAGCUAAUGUCUUUCUAGUUGUCGAUGGCUAUUGCACUUUCGCGCCAAAACACAGAUUUUCUUCCAUUGUCAGCGUACUCAUCAGACAAAAGCUCAAUAAGUGCCUUUAUCAGAAUUUUAUGCUUUUAUUUCUCUAUUUUGCCGAAAGCCAUCAUCAGGAUUCAUUGGUUCAUUUUACUUACUCGAUAGCCGACAGGUCUUCUCUCAGAAAAUGAACGACGUAAUCAACAGUACAGUGGCCACAAGAACUAACGAAUCUCAAGUUUAUAUCCUCACUGAAUAUAGUUCUGGUACUUCCAAACGUAUUGGCAUUUCUUUGAUCAACAGCUUGUACAAGCCAAAGCUGACAGAGGAUCCUGAAGACCGCUUGGUUUUGUUGGACUCGUGGAUAAAGAAAAAAAUCAAGUCAUUAUCAGAUGGCCCCAGGACAGCACCUCUAGUUGGAACUUGGACAAGUAUGACAAGCCAGUCGAGUGUGAUUACCGUCCAGCUAUAGUUCUAUUUUACUCUGAUGACCAACAUAGUGCUGGUAAGAAGAGGGAUGAAAUCAUCAAGGAACGGAAGUCCAGUUUGGUUAAUGACUCUUACCAAAAAGCAAGACGCAGUCUGAACUUUCAGUCAGAUAAAACUGCUGAAAAGCGUCCUCUCAACAAUGGAGAUACAGUACAAGUUGCACUUUCGUCUGAAGAGGAGAUCAACGUAUUGAGAGCCAAGAUAAAGAGAUUAGAAGAGGAACGUGCUGAAGCUGGGGAACAGAGAAAUGCUAUAGUUACACUCGAGACCAAGGUUAUUUCACUUGAAAAGCAGCUGGACCGGAUGGCAGAAGAGCUGGGGGAGAGAGAGAAUGAAAACAUGAACUUAAAUGAGCAAAUUGAACAGCUCAAAAACCAUCAUCCGAUCGCCAUAACAACAGAGUUGCAGAAAACUUUCACAAUUUCCAUUAAAGAGACAAUUAUAUCGUCUAUUCAAGAAGCAAUGAAAUCGAUCAGCCCGGCACGCCUAGUUUAAGCCCUCCGAGAACUCCUUCGCCUUCUAACUCUCUGCAAGAUUUUGGUAGUCAACUGGUUCCUCUUGGAAAGCAGCAAAAAGGCUCUCCACCGCCAAUGAUGAUAAAUGGCGCAGCCUUGCGUCGUGCAAUUACUGCUGGUAGAAUGGGAGCAGCACAGCCACAGGUCAACUCCUGCGUCAGGGAGCUUUUGUCGGGAUUUUUCUCGGACGCACAACUCGCCAAGUUGUCCUUAUCAGGACGAAAAUGUCCAACUAAACAAGACGGAGAAGCCAAGGAAAAGCUUUCUGGAAAUAUCAAGCUAUCCAUUACCGAUUUUGUGAUUGAUCGAUGGAAAGUUUGGCAUGGUGCCAAACUUGAUCAACGUAGUGUGAACAGCGCAUUCACAGCAAGAUUUGGUGGCGCGCAUACAAAUCAAAGGAAGCAGGGUGGAAAACCUACCAGUACAGAAGAUCCUGAAGAAAAUAUCUUCCUGGAUGGACCAGCUAGGAAGAAAGGUGGAGAGAAUUUCAACACUGGAGGUGACAUUGGAUUCGAUUUCAACGAGGAGUACGAAGACAACGAAGGUGGCAGCGAUCGAGUCAUUAAUACCAACGAGUAUUAAUGUUUUUAAAUCGGAUUCGUGCUCUCGUUUCUUCAUAUUUUUAAUGUGUUAUUUAUUUAAAACUAACUCAGCAUUGCCAGUGAUUUUAUUCCAAAAAUUCCCGAGCUAUUUUUUUAUCAAAUACGUAUGUAUGAGUCCUAAUGUUUCUACAAUAAAUGC
rnacentral:lncRNA from 1 species